rnacentral:rRNA from 1 species
CUGGCUCAGGAUGAACGCUGGCGGCGUGCCUAAUACAUGCAAGUCGAACGCAUUACUUCGGUAGUGAGUGGCGAACGGGUGAGUAACACGUAGGUAACUUACCUCUAAGACGAGGAUAACGACUGGAAACGGUCGCUAAAACUGGAUAGGAUCAUUUGAGGCAUCUCGAAUGAUUUAAAGGGGCUUUCAAGCCACACUUAGAGAAAGGCCUGCGGCGCAUUAGCUAGUUGGUGGGGUAGAGGCCUACCAAGGCGAUGAUGCGUAGCCGGACUGAGGGGUCGAACGGCCACAUUGGGACUGAGACACGGCCCAAACUCCUACGGGAGGCAGCAGUAGGGAAUUUUCGGCAAUGGGGGAAACCCUGACCGAGCAACGCCGCGUGAAUGAAGACGUAUUUCGGUAUGUAAAGUUCUUUUAUUAAGGAAGAAUGUCACGGAUAGGAAAUGAUCUGUGAGUGACGGUACUUAAUGAAUAAGCCCCGGCUAACUAUGUGCCAGCAGCCGCGGUAAUACAUAGGGGGCAAGCGUUAUCCGGAAUUAUUGGGCGUAAAGGGUGCGUAGGCGGUCUAUUAAGUUUAAGGUAUAAGUGCAAGGCUCAACCUUGUGAGGCUUUAGAAACUGGUAGGCUAGAGAUAGAUAGAGGCAAGUGGAAUUCCAUGUGUAGCGGUAAAAUGCGUAAAUAUAUGGAGGAACACCAGUGGCGAAGGCGGCUUGCUGGGUCUAUACUGACGCUGAGGCACGAAAGCGUGGGGAGCAAACAGGAUUAGAUACCCUGGUAGUCCACGCCGUAAACGAUGAGUAUAAGUGUGGGGGGAACCCAGUGCUGUAGUUAACAUAUUAAGACUUCCGCCUGAGUAGUACGUACGCAAGUGUGAAACUCAAAGGAAUUGACGGGACCCCGCACAAGCGGUGGAUCAUGUUGUUUGAUUCGAAGAUACACGAAAAACCUUACCAGGUCUUGACAUACUCUGCAAAGCUAUAGAGAUAUAGUGGAGGUUAACAGAUGUACAGGUGGUGCAUGGUUGUCGUCAGCUCGUAUCGUGAGAUGUUGGGUUAAGUCCCGCAACGAGCGCAACCCUUAUUGCUAGUUACCAUCAUUAAGUUGGGGACUCUAGCGAGACUGCCAGUGAUAAACUGGAGGAAGGUGGGGAUGACGUCAAAUCAUCAUGCCCCUUAUGACCUGGGCUACAAACGUGAUACAAUGGCUGGAACAGAGAGAGGCGAAGCAGUGAUGUGGAGCCAAACUCAUAAAAACAGUCUCAGUUCGAAUUGGAGUCUGCAACUCGACUCCAUGAAGUCGGAAUCGCUAGUAAUCGCGAAUCAGCAUGUCGCGGUGAAUAAAAGCUCGGGGUUUGCACUCACCGCCCGUCA